rnacentral:lncRNA from 1 species
AUAUAAUUAACAAUCUUCAGUUAUUUUGCAUACUAAUAUGUAAUUUAUUCUUCAAUUAAAUAAUUUGACUAAUUCAUUAUUUUCAGUUCAGUAAAGUUCAGUAUAUUAUUACAGCACCUCCUAUCGCCCAGAAUGGGGAUAUCCUUUCUGUGGCGAUAGAGUUGUGCACCAGUAUUAAUUGGCUUGUCAAAUUCAAUUUCAUUUAAUUUAGACUAUAUUCACACGUGUGAUUAGAAUUCAUUAUUUUCUAUAAAUAUAACGGACUUUACUGUUCGUUGCACUUUUUCCCCAAUGGCCUCGUCUCGAAGGUUAUUUAACAAUUAUUCGCCGAAGGCGAGGUGAUUAUCGGGGAAUAUUCAUCGAGACGAAGUCGAGGUAAAUAUUCCCCGAUAAUCAUCGAGCCUGAGGCGAAUAAUAGUUUUAGUAUUUUUACACAAGUCUUUUGUGUUUUUGGGACUGGAUUUAUUUUAAUUUACCUUAUUUCUUUAUCAGUAAAGGCCAUGUUACACAGUGCAAUUUUUCUUGCAACUUGUAAUGCAAUUCUACUCUUGAGAGAUGUUAAUUAGCGAAACCUGCGAAGAAUUUUCAAUAUGUUGAGAAAACAUCAGCGGAGUGUAAUGAAGGCUCGUAUUUGGCAAUUUUACAUCGCUCAAGAGUAGAAUUGCAUUGCAAGUUGCAAGAAAAAUUGCACCGUGUAACAUGGCCUUUACUUCUACAAAACGGCUAGCCGCCAUUUUGCAAAUUUCAGUUUUGUUAUAUUCACCUGUAGGUGAGUAUAGCAGUUUAAUAUGUCAAAAAUUUGACCAAUCAACUUGUAGGAUUUGUUAUAUUCACUUGUGCAAAAAUACUAAAUCCCCAUGUUUCGAAUAUGUUUCUAUCACAAACCUAUCCUUACGCUAUACAGAGUGUCCCCAAAAAACCAAAACUAUUGAAAUAACGUAUUGUUAGAAUUUGAAUGCCUCAGCACUCUGCUGAACCCACACGUGCAUCAAAGCUUGACGUAAGUAAAUUUUAUGCAUAAAAAAACCGUCCAAGAAGCUGCUAUAGAUUCCCAAUUAGAGAAGAAAAUCGCGAGCUUUUCAAAGAUAUUUUAAUUUCUUAAUAAGUCAAUAUUUAAUAUAUGCACCCUUGUCAAUAUUUUACGCAUCUUUGCAUUCAGCUUAGUGCUAGGGGAUUCAAAUUUUAACAAUACGUUAUUUCAAUGGUUUUACGGUUUUUUUUGGGACACCCUGUAUAGGGUUUGCACUCAUUCCCCAUGAGGGACCAACUCGACAAAAGCAAUGGCGGCCACGUUGGUGUUCCAGACAAAAGAGUCUAAUUAAAAUUCUUUUGAAUUGGAACACCAACACACAGAAUAAAGACAUACAGAAGUGUAUCUUCUUAUUAAAAGUGCGUAAAGCCUGAUUUCCACUAGGCGGAAUUUUGCGCGCGGAGCGGAAUUUUUCUUUGUCUUGUGAUUUCUCAGGUGGAACUAAUUAGAAAAGACAAAGAAAAUUUCCGCUGCGCGCGCAAAAUUCCGCCUAGUGGAAAUCAGGCUUAAGGGAUUUUUUCAGUCCGCCAUGUUCUUAGCAAGUGCCCUAAAGAGAGGCAGUCACCCCCCUGAAAACAUAUUGAAAAUUUAAUAUUCCAGGGGGUAAAUGCCUCUCUUUAGGGCCUUGCUAAGAACAUGGCCGCCAGCUAUUUCGGUAAAAAAGCGCCUUACGGUUUUGUAAUGGAAGUUACACUUCUGUAUGUCUUUAUUCUGGGGUGUCUGUAAAAGCCGGAACCCCACCCGGAACAGCCGGAAC